GCCCGCGUAGCUCAGUCGGUAGAGCAUCAGACUUUUAAUCUGGGUCUUGGGUUCGAGUCCCAACGUGGGCG
rnacentral:tRNA from 1 species